GGGGGACGAUCCACUCUGGCGACGCUCAGAUUGUAGUUCAGUGUCUGUACACUGCGGACAUAAAUGGGAUUAAUACACCAUCACCAUCACCGCGCAGUAACAGUAUCACAGUGAUAGUGACGGGGUUCCCGAUGAACUCCACAUCCGAUCCAGUGUCCACAACAAAUCUGACAGCUGUGAUCAAUGUGAGCAGCACAUUACUGCCUGAAAAUAGCUUUGUCGGUGUUACCUGUGCUGCUCCACGCACGGUGCGAGAGGCCACCUGGAGGCUCUACAGAGACGCACAUACAUCUCCGGUCCUCACACGGACUGGG